CCAGCUGCCGCUAACCCACCACCAGGAAGUUGUCACUACUAACAUGUUUACAGUGGAAUGGAACCCAGAUGAGUGACUAGCCGUUUGUCUUGUCCCACUUUUGGGCAUUUAAAAGAAGAAGAAGAAGAAGUUUCUUGAAUCUGCUGUUGCUGCAUAGAAAGAUAGUCUCGUGCUUGAUCUGUGUUGGAGCAAUAAGGAAAGCUGAUUAUUGCUGGGAGAUCGAAGGUUAAUACCUUGAAAUCGCAAAGUUCCACAUCAACUACUUGUAUUCUCACCUUUCAGAAUAUAGAGAGCGACCAGAAAAAAGAAAGAAACAUUUACCGACCUUAUUGAA